rnacentral:rRNA from 1 species
UGAGUAAUGUCUGGGAAACUGCCUGAUGGAGGGGGAUAACUACUGGAAACGGUAGCUAAUACCGCAUAACGUCGCAAGACCAAAGAGGGGGACCUUCGGGCCUCUUGCCAUCAGAUGUGCCCAGAUGGGAUUAGCUAGUAGGUGGGGUAAUGGCUCACCUAGGCGACGAUCCCUAGCUGGUCUGAGAGGAUGACCAGCCACACUGGAACUGAGACACGGUCCAGACUCCUACGGGAGGCAGCAGUGGGGAAUAUUGCACAAUGGGCGCAAGCCUGAUGCAGCCAUGCCGCGUGUGUGAAGAAGGCCUUCGGGUUGUAAAGCACUUUCAGCGAGGAGGAAGGUGGUGAACUUAAUACGUUCAUCAAUUGACGUUACUCGCAGAAGAAGCACCGGCUAACUCCGUGCCAGCAGCCGCGGUAAUACGGAGGGUGCAAGCGUUAAUCGGAAUUACUGGGCGUAAAGCGCACGCAGGCGGUUUGUUAAGUCAGAUGUGAAAUCCCCGGG